rnacentral:rRNA from 2 species
UGGGGGACAACGUUUCGAAAGGAACGCUAAUACCGCAUACGUCCUACGGGAGAAAGCAGGGGACCUUCGGGCCUUGCGCUAUCAGAUGAGCCUAGGUCGGAUUAGCUAGUUGGUGAGGUAAUGGCUCACCAAGGCGACGAUCCGUAACUGGUCUGAGAGGAUGAUCAGUCACACUGGAACUGAGACACGGUCCAGACUCCUACGGGAGGCAGCAGUGGGGAAUAUUGGACAAUGGGCGAAAGCCUGAUCCAGCCAUGCCGCGUGUGUGAAGAAGGUCUUCGGAUUGUAAAGCACUUUAAGGUGGGAGGAAGGGUUGUAGAUAAUACUCUGCAAUUUUUGACGUUACCGCCCAGAAUAAGCACCGGCUAACUCUGUGCCAGCAGCCGCGGUAAUACAGAGGGUGCAAGCGUUAAUCGGAAUUACUGGGCGUAAAGCGCGCGUAGGUGGUUUGUUAAGUUGGAUGUGAAAUCCCCGGGCUCAACCUGGGAACUGCAUCCAAAACUGGCAAGCUAGAGUAUGGUAGAGGGUAGUGGAAUUUCCUGUGUAGCGGUGAAAUGCGUA